GAGCGGCGAACGGGUGAGUAACACGUGAGUAACCUGCCCCUGACUCUGGGAUAAGCCCGGGAAACUGGGUCUAAUACCGGAUAUGACACAUGACGGCAUCGUUGGUGUGUGGAAAGUUUUUCGGUUGGGGAUGGACUCGCGGCCUAUCAGCUUGUUGGUGGGGUAAUGGCCUACCAAGGCGACGACGGGUAGCCGGCCUGAGAGGGCGACCGGCCACACUGGGACUGAGACACGGCCCAGACUCCUACGGGAGGCAGCAGUGGGGAAUAUUGCGCAAUGGGCGAAAGCCUGACGCAGCGACGCCGCGUGGGGGAUGACGGCCUUCGGGUUGUAAACCUCUUUCAGCAGGGACGAAGUUGACGUGUACCUGCAGAAGAAGCGCCGGCUAACUACGUGCCAGCAGCCGCGGUAAUACGUAGGGCGCAAGCGUUGUCCGGAAUUAUUGGGCCGNAAAGAGCUCGUAGGUGGCUUGUCACGUCGGGUGUGAAAGCUUGGGGCUUAACUCCAGGUCUGCAUUCGAUACGGGCUGGCUAGAGGUAGGUAGGGNAGAACGGAUUNCU
rnacentral:rRNA from 1 species